CCGUGCUAAGAGGGGAGCUGGUGGUUCCCUGAACCCGAAAUCCACCAUAUGCGGGUCUGAACUCCUUGACGAGGUUCACCUGUUUUUUGGGAGUGGGCUGGAGGGGUGUUGAGGUUCCAGGUCCAGUGCGGCAGAGGGUUCCCCAACCCCGCCAGGUCCGGAAGGAAGCAACGGUAAGGAAUACCUCUGGGUGUUGCUGGGGUGCCUGGGCUGAGCCCCAAAGGUACCUUCCCAAUAAAUAAGGGAAUCGACUCAAGGUGCACGG
rnacentral:SRP_RNA from 1 species